GACGAACCGUGCGAACGUUAUUCGGAAUCACUGGGCUUAAAGCGCGUGUAGGCGGGACGGCACGUCGGUCGCUGAAAGCCCCCGGCUCAACCGGGGAACGGGCGCCGAUACGACCGGCCUGGAGGGACGUAGGGGGACCUGGAACUUCCGGUGGAGCGGUGAAAUGCGUUGAGAUCGGAAGGAACGCCCGUGGCGAAAGCGAGGUCCUGGACGUUUUCUGACGCUGAGGAGCGAAAGCUAGGGGAGCAAACGGG
rnacentral:rRNA from 1 species